rnacentral:rRNA from 1 species
GCGAGGCCGAAAGGCGUAGUCGAUGGGAAACAGGUUAAUAUUCCUGUACUUGGUGUUACUGCGAAGGGGGGACGGAGAAGGCUAUGUUAGCCGGGCGACGGUUGUCCCGGUUUAAGCAUGUAGGCUGAUUGUCCAGGCAAAUCCGGAUAAUCAAGGCUGAGGUGUGAUGACGAGGCACUACGGUGCUGAAGUAACAAAUGCCCUGCUUCCAGGAAAAGCCUCUAAGCAUCAGGUAACAU